GUGGGGAAUAUUGCACAAUGGGCGAAAGCCUGAUGCAGCAACGCCGCGUGAGUGAUGACGGCCUUCGGGUUGUAAAGCUCUGUCUUUGGGGACGAUAAUGACGGUACCCAAGGAGGAAGCCACGGCUAACUACGUGCCAGCAGCCGCGGUAAUACGUAGGUGGCAAGCGUUGUCCGGAUUUACUGGGCGUAAAGGGUGCGUAGGCGGACCUUUAAGUGAGAUGUGAAAUCCCCGAGCUUAACUUGGGGGCUGCAUUUCAAACUGGAGGUCUAGAGUGCAGGAGAGGAGAGUGGAAUUCCUAGUGUAGCGGUGAAAUGCGUAGAGAUUAGGAAGAACACCAGUGGCGAAGGCGACUCUCUGGACUGUAACUGACGCUGAGGCACGAAAGCGUGGGGAGCAAACAGGAUUAGAAACCCGUGUAGUCC
rnacentral:rRNA from 1 species